AAAGUACUCCCUCUGUCCCAAAAUUCUUGUCUUAGAUUUGUCUAGAUACGGAUGUAUCAAGUCACAUUUUAGUAUUAGAUACAUCCGUAUCUAGACAAAUCUAAGACAAGAAAUUUGGGACAGAGGAAGUACUUG
rnacentral:pre_miRNA from 1 species